rnacentral:rRNA from 1 species
AGUACCGUGAGGGAAAGGCGAAAAGAACCCCGGAGAGGGGAGUGAAAUAGAACCUAAAACCGUGUGCAUACAAGCAGUGGGAGCCGUAAGGUGACUGCGUACCUUUUGUAUAAUGGGUCAGCGACUUACUUUCAGUAGCAAGGUUAACCGUAUAGGGGAGCCGUAGAGAAAUCGAGUCUUAACUGGGCGAUCAGUUGCUGGAAGUAGACCCGAAACCGAGCGAUCUAUCCAUGGCCAGGGUGAAGGUUAGGUAACACUGACUGGAGGCCCGAACCCACAUCUGUUGAAAAAGAUGGGGAUGAGCUGUGGAUCGGAGUGAAAGGCUAAUCAAGCUCGGAGAUAGCUGGUUCUCCUCGAAAUCUAUUUAGGUAGAGCGUCGUGUCUUACCCUGGGGGGUAGAGCACUGUUUGGGCUAGGGGGUCAUCCCGACUUACCAACCCCAUGCAAACUCCGAAUACCCAGGAGUACAAUCACGGCAGACAGACGGCGGGUGCUAACGUCCGUCGUCGAGAGGGAAACAACCCAGACCGCCAGCUAAGGUCCCUAAUACCAGUUAAGUGGGAAACGAUGUGGGAAGGCUUAGACAGCUAGGAGGUUGGCUUAGAAGCAGCCAUCCUUUAAAGAAAGCGUAAUAGCUCACUAGUCGAGUCGGCCUGCGCGGAAGAUGUAACGGGGCUAAAUUGGUAACCGAAGCUGCGGAUGCAUGCUUGCAUGCAUGGUAGAGGAGCGUUCUGUAAGCCGUUGAAGGUGAACCGGGAGGUUUGCUGGAGGUAUCAGAAGUGCGAAUGCUGACAUGAGUAACGAUAAGGGGGGUGAAAAACCUCCCCGCCGGAAGAUCAAGGUUUCCUGCGCAACGCUAAUCGGCGCAGGGUGAGUCGGCCCCUAAGGCGAGGGCGAAAGCCGUAGUCGAUGGGAAACAGGUUAAUAUUCCUGUACUUUUUAUAACUGCGAUGGGGUGACGGAGAAGGUUAGGCUAGCACGGCGACGGUUGUCCGUGUUCAAGGUUGUAGGCUGGUGUUUUAGGUAAAUCCGGAACACUAAGGCUGAGAACUGAUGACGACCACUCUAUGAGUGGGAAGUAGUCGAUACCAUGCUUCCAGGAAAAACCUCUAAGCUUCAGGUUGUAAGAAACCGUACCCUAAACCGACACAGGUGGUUAGGUCGAGUAGACCAAGGUGUUUGAGAGAACUAUGGUGAAGGAACUAGGCAAAAUAGCACCGUAACUUCGGGAGAAGGUGCGCCGCGUUUGGUGAUGAGACUUGCUCUCUAAGCUGAACGUGGUCGAAGAUACCAGGUGGCUGCGACUGUUUACUAAAAACAUAGCACUCUGCAAACUCGUAAGAGGAAGUAUAGGGUGUGACGCCUGCCCGGUGCCGGAAGGUUAAUUGAUGGGGUUAGCUUAUGCGAAGCUCUUGAUCGAAGCCCCGGUAAACGGCGGCCGUAACUAUAACGGUCCUAAGGUAGCGAAAUUCCUUGUCGGGUAAGUUCCGACCUGCACGAAUGGCGUAACGAUGGCGGCGCUGUCUCCACCCAAGACUCAGUGAAAUUGAAAUCGCUGUUAAGAUGCAGUGUAUCCGCGGCUAGACGGAAAGACCCCGUGAACCUUUACUACAGCUUCACAGUGGACUUUGAAUAUGCUUGUGUAGGAUAGCUGGGAGACUUUGAAACCGGGACGCUAGUUUCGGUGGAGUCAACCUUGAAAUACCAGCCUGGCAUGUUUGAGGUUCUAACCUAGACCCGUGAAUCCGGGUCAGGGACAUUGUGUGGUGGGUAGUUUGACUGGGGCGGUCUCCUCCCAAAGAGUAACGGAGGAGCACGAAGGUACCCUCAGCAUGGUCGGAAAUCAUGCAAUGAGUGCAAGGGCAUAAGGGUGCUUAACUGCGAGACUGACAAGUCGAGCAGGUGCGAAAGCAGGUCCUAGUGAUCCGGUGGUUCUGUAUGGAAGGGCCAUCGCUCAACGGAUAAAAGGUACU